GAUGAAGAACGUAGCGAAAUGCGAUAAGUAAUGUGAAUUGCAGAAUUCAGUGAAUCAUCUAAUCUUUGAACGCACAUUGCGCCCGCCAGUAUUCUGGCGGGCAUGCCUGUCCGAGCGUCAUUUCAACCAUCAAGCCCCCGGGCUUGUGUUGGGGACCUGCGGCUGCCCGCAGGCCCUGAAAACCAGUGGCGGGCUCGCUGUCACACCGAGCGUAGUAGCAAUCACCUCGCUCAGGGCGUGCUGCGGGUUCCGGCCGUUAAACAGCCUUACAAAACCCAAGGUUGACCUCGGAUCAGGUAGGAAGACCCGCUGAACUUAAGCAUAUCAAGCGGAGGA
rnacentral:misc_RNA from 1 species